UACGUAGGGGGCAAGCGUUGUCCGGAAUCAUUGGGCGUAAAGCGCGUGUAGGCGGCCCGAUAAGUCCGCUGUGAAAGUCCAGGGCUCAACCCUGGGAUGCCGGUGGAUACUGUCGGGCUCGAGUCCGGAAGAGGCGAGUGGAAUUCCUGGUGUAGCGGUGAAAUGCGCAGAUAUCAGGAGGAACACCAAUAGCGAAGGCAGCUCGCUGGGACGUUACUGACACUGAGGCGCGAAAGCGUGGGGAGCAAACAGG
rnacentral:rRNA from 1 species